rnacentral:rRNA from 1 species
CGGGUGAGUAACGCGUGGGUAACCUGCCUUAUACAGGGGGAUAACAGUUGGAAACGACUGCUAAUACCGCGUAAGCGCACGGUAUCGCAUGAUACAGUGUGAAAAACUCCGGUGGUAUAAGAUGGACCCGCGUCUGAUUAGCUAGUUGGUGAGGUAACGGCCCACCAAGGCGACGAUCAGUAGCCGGCCUGAGAGGGUGAACGGCCACAUUGGGACUGAGACACGGCCCAAACUCCUACGGGAGGCAGCAGUGGGGAAUAUUGCACAAUGGGGGAAACCCUGAUGCAGCGACGCCGCGUGAGUGAUGAAGUAUUUCGGUAUGUAAAACUCUAUCAGCAGGGAAGAUAAUGACGGUACCUGACUAAGAAGCACCGGCUAAAUACGUGCCAGCAGCCGCGGUAAUACGUAUGGUGCAAGCGUUAUCCGGAUUUACUGGGUGUAAAGGGUGCGUAGGUGGUAUGGCAAGUCAGAAGUGAAAGGCUGGGGCUCAACCCCGGGACUGCUUUUGAAACUGUCAAACUAGAGUACAGGAGAGGAAAGCGGAAUUCCUAGUGUAGCGGUGAAAUGCGUAGAUAUUAGGAGGAACACCAGUGGCGAAGGCGGCUUUCUGGACUGAAACUGACACUGAGGCACGAAAGCGUGGGGAGCAAACAGGAUUAGAUACCCUGGUAGU